rnacentral:rRNA from 1 species
CCGCUGGCGGCAGGCCUAACACAUGCAAGUCGAGCGGCAGCGGGUCCUUCGGGAUGCCGGCGAGCGGCGGACGGGUGAGUAAUGCCUAGGAAUCUGCCUGGUAGUGGGGGAUAACUCGGGGAAACUCGAGCUAAUACCGCAUACGUCCUACGGGAGAAAGCGGGGGAUCUUCGGACCUCGCGCUACCAGAUGAGCCUAGGUCGGAUUAGCUAGUUGGUGAGGUAAAGGCUCACCAAGGCGACGAUCCGUAGCUGGUCUGAGAGGAUGAUCAGCCACACUGGAACUGAGACACGGUCCAGACUCCUACGGGAGGCAGCAGUGGGGAAUAUUGGACAAUGGGCGAAAGCCUGAUCCAGCCAUGCCGCGUGUGUGAAGAAGGUCUUCGGAUUGUAAAGCACUUUAAGUUGGGAGGAAGGGCAGUAAGUUAAUACCUUGCUGUUUUGACGUUACCGACAGAAUAAGCACCGGCUAACUUCGUGCCAGCAGCCGCGGUAAUACGAAGGGUGCAAGCGUUAAUCGGAAUUACUGGGCGUAAAGCGCGCGUAGGUGGUUUGAUAAGUUGGAUGUGAAAGCCCCGGGCUCAACCUGGGAAUUGCAUCCAAAACUGUCUGACUAGAAGUAUGGCAGAGGGUGGUGGAAAUUUCUGUGUAGCGGUGAAAUGCCUAGAUAUAGGAAGGAACCCC